UACGGAGGGUGCAAGCGUUAAUCGGAAUUAUUGGGCGUAAAGGGUGCGCAGGCGGACACAUAAGUCGGGUGUGAAAUCCCGAGGCUCAACCUCGGAACGGCACUCGAAACUGCGUUUCUAGAGGAUAGAAGGAGAAAAUGGAAUUCCACAAGUAGCAGUGAAAUGCGUAGAUAUGUGGAAGAACACCGGUGGCGAAGGCGGUUUUCUAGUCUAUUACUGACGCUCAGGCACGAAAGUUAGGGGAUCAAACAGG
rnacentral:rRNA from 1 species